UAAUUUAAAGUCUAGCCUGCCCAAUGAUAAUUGAAUGGCCGCGGUAUUUUGACCGUGCUAAGGUAGCAUAAUCAAUAGUUUUUUAAUUGAAAGCUGGAAUGAAGGGUUGGAUAAAAAAAUAACUGUUUCUAUUUAAUUUAAUUAGAAUUUUAUAUUUAAGUUAAAAAGCUUAAAUUUUGUUAAAAGACGAGAAGACCCUAUAGAGUUUAAUAAAUAAUUAUAUUAUUAUAUUUAGAAUUAAUUUUAUUAGUUAUAUUAUUUAUUUAAUUGGGGUGAUUAAAAAAUUCAAAUAACUUUUUUUAUAUUAUAACAUUUAUAGAUGAAUAUUUGAUCCAUGGUUAAUGAUUAAAAGAUAAAAUUACCUUAGGGAUAACAGCGUUAUUUUUUUUUAGAGUUCAAAUCGAAAGAAAAGAUUGCGACCUCGAUGUUGGAUUAAAAUAAAUUUUUGGUGUAGAAGCUAAAAUAUUAGGUCUGUUCGACCUUUAAAAUUUUACAU
rnacentral:rRNA from 1 species